GCUGGGUUAGUGGGGUAUUCAAGAGGGAUGAGAGGGAGGGGGUGAGGAGGUGGGAAGGUUUUCUAUUUAGGUUGUUUGAUUCUGUAAAUAUUGCAUCCACGGAUCCCAGGUAGAAGUAUAGAGGUGGUACUGGUGUGUGAGGGAGUAACAUGUCUCCUCUAGGCCCCUGAUAGUUUCAACCUUUUGUAUCCAAUCUCGUAUGUUAGGCGAGUGGGGUUGUGUCCAGAAGGCUGGAAUGAGCUGGUUUGAUGCUGUGAUGAGGUGCAAGAGUGGAGCCUUUUCAUGCUUCUGCAUGGCUUGUGGGGGAAGGAGGAAAAGAUAUGUGUCGGGAUGUAGGGGGAUGGGUAGGAGUACGAACAGAGGUUAGACAUAGAUCGUUGGCAGAGUGUAGGGAUCUAGAAGGGACAUAUUUAUGUAUUAGUGAGGAUAGAUAGAUCAGAGCAUCAUUGUGUAGAGAUUUGUAAGCAAUUACUACAAUCUUAAAUUGAGCCCUAUAUUUUACAGGAAGCUAAUGUAGGGGCUGACAGAGGAGGGAGGCAUGGAAGGUGUAUGCGGACAGGAAGAUGAGCCUCAACGCCGCAUUCAUUAUAGACUGUAACAUAGCAGGUUGUGAACACGUAACACCACUGAGAAACGGAUUACAG